AACGAACGCUGGCGGCAGGCUUAACACAUGCAAGUCGAGCGCCCCGCAAGGGGAGCGGCAGACGGGUGAGUAACGCGUGGGAACGUGCCUUUUGGUUCGGAACAACUCCGGGAAACUGGAGCUAAUACCGGAUAAGCCCUUCGGGGGAAAGAUUUAUCGCCAAAAGAUCGGCCCGCGUCUGAUUAGCUAGUUGGUGGGGUAACGGCUCACCAAGGCGACGAUCAGUAGCUGGUCUGAGAGGAUGAUCAGCCACACUGGGACUGAGACACGGCCCAGACUCCUACGGGAGGCAGCAGUGGGGAAUAUUGGACAAUGGGCGCAAGCCUGAUCCAGCCAUGCCGCGUGAGUGAUGAAGGCCUUAGGGUUGUAAAGCUCUUUUGUCCGGGAAGAUAAUGACUGUGCCGGAAGAAUAAGCCCCGGCUAACUUCGUGCCAGCCGCCGCCGUAAA
rnacentral:rRNA from 1 species